GCCUUGGGAUUUCUUAACUUCUGUGCCCAGAUUUUCACCUGGCUGACAUCCAGGGACCACCUGAGGGCUGCACACUGCUGAGCUCUGACUUGCUGAAAGCUGAUGAUUAACCAGCUCAGUGGAUACCGUGGUUUCCUGUCUUUCAUCUGAUCACCUAGUCCUGUGCUCCUGAUAGAUGCCUCAUUGCCUAACAUAUCAGCCUCCCUGGGCCCUUUUGACAACCUCCUAAUGCCAGCAGGAAGCAGUUACAGAAGAAAAAAAAAUACAACGUCCAUGGCCCCACUUGUAAGGGUAAUGAGAUGCUAAGUCAAAAAGGCCCAUGUUUUGCCAAUAACAUAUGGCUCUUAGGUCCCAAUUAAUCCCUUGGCCAACCAAUGACUAUGAUCUUGGGAAAAAUAACUGACGAAUCAAUGAUUUGAUUCAGUUACUAAUCAGAGGAGGGAUGCGGGGACUUGGUUACCCAGCGCCAGAAUGACUCCACGACAGGCUACAAACCUGCAGUUUUGGAGACUAAGCCUAAGUUUCUGUUUCUCAGAAAUGAGAACCUGGAUCGGGGAACCUGUGGUCAGCCAACCACACCAGCGGGCAGGCAGUGUGAGGACACCUUGCCAUCUGGCCUGAAGUUAGAAUAGGUAGCUAGAAUGAGUAAGUGGCCUCCUGGGAAGUCUCCAGAGCCUAAGCAAUAGUAGAAUCAGUCAGAACCCUAGAGACAGAGCUAACCAAUCCAGGCAAAAGGGCACACAUCCUCCCUGGAAUUCCUCCUAACUGACAAUAAAAGCUGAGCCCAAGAAUCCACUAGAAGUCUCCAGUUCCUAAUGGGGAGACCCCUGCAUGCAGGAAAUUCAGCUGAAUAAAUGUUCUUUGCUUUUGUAU
rnacentral:lncRNA from 1 species